AACUCUCUCUCUCUUUCUCUCCUCGACCGCCGCUUCAAGAUCGACUCGAUUUACUGAGCGCACAGCAGAGUUGGGAAAGUAUAAAGCCUUCUGAGAGACAAACUCAAAAUAAGGUGCAUACCCUUUUAGCAUUCAGGCAUGUCUGCCAAGGAUGAGUCCCCUAUAUGUUUUGUAUACGCACGAAGUAAUAUAAUCCACCAAAAUCCAGAAUCAACAGGAGCUACUCUUCCUAUUGUACUCUCACCAAAGUCUGUAAUCAAAGUUUCAUAGUUUCUUUCUGGAUCGUGGAUCACUUUAAAACUUGCAGGCAUAACUCCUCCUCCUAGUUUGAACCGAUCUAUCAUCUUCUCCCUUGAUUGAAGGUGAAGGUGAGAACUGUGUAUGGAAGUGUGUAGAAAGAUGGGGGGGGGGGGGGGGCAUGACUGGAGGAAAGACUAGUGAUCUUUCACGUCACUCUGUCCAUAACAUUUUCUUCAGUUUGCCUAGCCUCUUUUUCCCAUAGCUAAUUAUUUCAAUUGGCAAGAAAAACAAAAUGCUCUCACCUUCCUACAGUUUGGCUCAUUAUCUAGCUUGUAGAUUUUUUUAGGUACUUUAUUUGGGGGAUUUUUUUUUAUUUGUUUUUAUUCAAUGAUGGGAUCUUUUCCUUUCGAUAUUUACCAUUUUACAAUAACCCUUAACAUAUUGUAUGAGUAUCUAGCUUAAAUAUUGAUAAGAUAUUAUUGAACUGGAAAAAAAAAAUCUCUGCCAUCAGAUUUGAAAGCUAC